rnacentral:rRNA from 1 species
GACGAACGCUGGCGGCGUGCCUAAUACAUGCAAGUCGAACGCAGUGGGGACGGGUGAGUAACACGUGGGUAACCUCCCAUCAGAGGGGAUAACACUUGGAAACAGGUGCUAAACCGAUACUGAUGGAUGGACCUGCGGUGCAUUAGUUAGUUGGUGAGGUAACGGCUCACCAAGGCCACGAUGCAUAGCCGGACUGGGAGGGUGAGCCGCCAAACUUGGACUGGGACACGGCCCAGACUCCUACGGGAGGCAGCAGUAGGGAAUCUUCGGCAAUGGGGGGAAGUCUGGCCGAGCAACGCCGCGGGAGUGAAGAAGGGUUUCGGAUCGUAAAACUCUUGUGUUAGGGAAGCGGGAACUAAACAGGAAGCCACGGCUAACUACGGGCCAGCAGCCGCGGGAAUAC